UAAAUAAAUGCAUGCUAAAGUUCACGAUUGAAUAAUUAAUGUCGUGGAGUUAUUUUGACGUCUAUUUUUAAUUUUUGACGUAUUUUUAUUUCUCUUGGAGAGAUACCGAAAAUGGGAUUUUCGGUGGAUAUAAAUAUGUAUUUAUGAGAGAGUAUGUAUAGAAAAUGCUAGCUAGCCAUAUGUGUCUGUCCACCUUAAUGGCGUAGCAUAUAGCCGCAUUAUGGUGUGACGUGAGCGUUAGACGUAAGCGUAGUAGCCCUAUUUGAGUGUUUAAUUCAUAUAGGGGGUAUGGACACAUAUUUAUACACCCGUCUGUCCACCUUGAUGGCGUAGUGUAGCACCGCAUUAAGGCGUGACGUCAGCGUUGGACGCGAGCGUAGUAGCCCUAUAUAGACCCAUGAAUUUAUAUAGGGAGUAUGGACGAGUGUAAAUACAUACAUAUAUUAUAGAGUCUGAGAGGCUCGAUAUUUAUAGGAUAAAAGUUUUAUCGCUUGCGGCAUGCAUUCGAUUUUUCCUUAGAAAUUAAUUUGGGGAAACAUAAAUAUUUUAUUUAUUAUUUUAUUUUUUUGUCCACUCACUCUAACGUUAUUAAAUGUUUUCCCCUGGGCCCUUCGUUUUAAAUUGCCCAGUCUGCAGAGUUCGGGUUGGAUCUAGUAGGAGACGAGGCAUAGUCACCCGCAUUUCUGCCAGUUUUCGCCAGUAGGUUACCUGUUCAACCUACUCGUGUUUUCUUGCUUCCGCUUGUGUUUAGUAGCUCUGAAUACUUUAGAAUUUUUGUAUAUUAUGUGUUAAAUUAAGAGUGUAAUUUUAAUUUUCGAGUUAGGGUUGUCCAUCUGCAAGGGAGAUUUUCUCAAUCUUUUCAGUAAAUUUUCCUUGGAGGUGGUCCCCGC
rnacentral:lncRNA from 1 species